UGCUGCGCCGUAGGGAAGCCGCUAAACGAGCCGCCUGGGAAGUACGUCCGCAAGGAUGAAACUUAAAGGAAUUGGCGGGGGAGCACUACAACCGGAGGAGCCUGCGGUUUAAUUGGACUCAACGCCGGACAUCUCACCAGCCCCGACAUCAGUAAUGACAGUCAUGUUGACGACAUCCGCUCGAGCUGAUGAGAGGAGGUGCAUGGCCGCCGUCAGCUCGUACCGUGAGGCAUCCUGUUAAGUCAGGCAACGAGCGAGAUCCACGUCCCUAAUUGCCAGCACCACCGCCAGGUGGGUGGGUACAUUAGGGAGACUGCCAGUGCUAAACUGGAGGAAGGAAUGGGCAACGGUAGGUCAGUAUGCCCCGAAUGGGCUGGGCAACACGCGGGCUACAAUGGUCAGGACAACGGGUUCCAACACUGAAAAGUGACGGUAAUCUCGCAAACCUGGUCGUAGUUCGGAUUGUGGGCUGAAACUCGCCCACAUGAAGCUGGAUUCGGUAGUAAUCGCGUGUCAGAAGCGCGCGGUGAAUACGUCCCUGCUCCUUGCACACACCGCCCGUCAAAGCACCCGAGUGAGGUCCGGAUGAGGCCACAUCACUGUGGUCAAAUCUGGGCUUCGCAAGGGGGCUUAAGUCGUAACAAGGUUUCCGUAGGUGAA
rnacentral:rRNA from 1 species